rnacentral:rRNA from 1 species
UACGUAGGUGGCGAGCGUUGUCCGGAUUUAUUGGGUUUAAAGGGUGCGUAGGCGGCCCUAUAAGUCAGUGGUGAAAUAUCGCAGCUUAACUGUGAGGGUGCCAUUGAUACUGUAGGGCUUGAGUGAAUUUGAGGUAGGCGGAAUUGACGGUGUAGCGGUGAAAUGCUUAGAUAUCGUCAAGAACACCGAUAGUGAAGACGGCUUACCAAGCUUCAACUGACGCUGAGGCACGAAAGUGUGGGGAUCAAACAGG